UACGGAGGGGGCAAGCGUUGUUCGGAUUUACUGGGCGUAAAGGGUGUGUAGGCGGCCGCGCAAGUCUGGUGUGAAAUCUUCACCGCUUAACGGGAAGAGGUCACUGGAAACUGCGUGGCUCGAGUAUGGUAGAGGCAAGCGGAACUCCUGGUGUAGCGGUGGAAUGUGUAGAUAUCAGGAAGAACAUCUGUGGCGAAGGCGGCUUGCUGGGCCAUUACUGACGCUGAGACACGAAAGCGUGGGGAGCAAACGGGAUUAGAUACCCCGGUAGUCCACGCUGUAAACUGUGCGCACUAGGUGUGGGGGGUAUCGACCCCUCCCGUGCCGACGUUAACACAUUAAGUGCGCCGCCUGGGGAGUACGGCCGCAAGGUUGAA
rnacentral:rRNA from 1 species